rnacentral:lncRNA from 1 species
UGGAGAGGGAGUGAGGAAGGCUGUGUUUCCAGUAAGGGAUGAGAAAUAAGAGCAGUAAUGAGUAAUUUUUUCCCUGGCUGAAUACAAAUGUGCAACCUGAGGAUGAGAAGACACUGGAGCACAAGGGUCACAUGUACAGUGAGUUGUAAUAAAGAGACCCCACUGCAAAGACAAGCAGGAAAUGCCACAAGGAAGAAAUGUAGAAAGGACUAAAAAAAGCCAAGGAUUGUUUGGAUUUGGAGAAAGACUUCUUGCCUGAGCAUUGUCCCUACUUUGAGCAGAGUGCUGACAAAAUUGUCCUGUCUGCUUGUUUAAUCAAUUUCAGCUUUUCAUCUGGUGUGAAUCAGGAUUAUCAGCAGGAGUUUGUCCUGAGAAAACUCCAGGUCCCACACAGCCCUCUCUGGCUGAGCUUGAAUCAGAAUUUGAAACAUUUUCUUUCACUGAAGUACAGACCCGGACAGGACCUUGAGAAGUCACCUGUUCUUAUCUCCUGGUUGAAAGGCAGAAUUCUAUAUAUCCACACCCAUCCCAGGCCAGUGCUGAUCUGAUCUGCUCUUCUGAAUCAGCAGUAGUAGGGAUUCCACAGUCUCUCUUUCCAGUGGCUGGCAGGUCUGUGCAGUUGGAAGUGUUCUCCUGUCUUAAAAUUCAAAAUAACAUUCUGUGUUUCAGCUGAAUGAAAACUAAAUAAUUGUUUUUUGUAAUAUAUAUACCUCUCCCUUUAGUGUGUCACCAAGUGAUAGUUGCCUCUUGUGCAAUGGCAUUGAGUUGAUUUUCAAAUUUAUCAACUACAACUUCUCUGGAAUUACAUGCCACGUUCACCAUCCUUCUGGAUGGGUCACAUCUGCAGAUGGUAACAAUCUCCUCCCAGCCUGAGAAAUGCAGAGAUAGCUCCUGCUUUGGAGAUAAUUCCUAGGAGGCAAACUCAGCCUACAAACUCAAUCACACCCAAGGUUUAGUGGUACAGAGAAUUGUAACUAUCAGUGAGCAGUGCUGAUCCAGGGAAUGCACACUGGGAUCAUCCAGGUCAGGUAAACUGAGUGGGGCACUAAUCACAGCUGAGUGUGAUGGCAUCUCAGACUAAUUGGAUUUCCCUCU